rnacentral:rRNA from 1 species
AUGGCUCAGGAUGAACGCUAGCGACAGGCUUAACACAUGCAAGUCGAGGGGCAUCACGGGAGUAGCAAUACAACUGGUGGCGACCGGCGCACGGGUGAGUAACGCGUAUGCAACCUACCUAUCAGAGGGGAAUAACCCGGCGAAAGUCGGACUAAUACCGCAUAAAGCAGGGGCACCGCAUGGUGAUAUUUGUUAAAGAAAUUCGCUGAUAGAUGGGCAUGCGUUCCAUUAGGUAGUUGGUGAGGUAACGGCUCACCAAGCCGACGAUGGAUAGGGGAACUGAGAGGUUGGUCCCCCACACUGGUACUGAGACACGGACCAGACUCCUACGGGAGGCAGCAGUGAGGAAUAUUGGUCAAUGGGCGGGAGCCUGAACCAGCCAAGUCGCGUGAAAGGAAGAAGGAUCUAUGGUUCGUAAACUUCUUUUGCAGGGGAAUAAAGUGCAGGACGUGUCCUGUUUUGUAUGUACCCUGAGAAUAAGGAUCGGCUAACUCCGUGCCAGCCGCAGC